rnacentral:rRNA from 1 species
GACGAACGCUGGCGGCGUGCUUAACACAUGCAAGUCGAACGGGCCUGUCUUCUUUUUUGGGGGGUGGGUUGAGUGGCGCACGGGUGAGUAUCACGUGAGUAACCUGCCCUUCGGUCCUGGAUAACCGCUUGAAAGGGCGGCUAAUACGGGGUGGUCCGGUUGGUCCGCAUGGGCUGGUCGGGAUAGAUUCACUGUUUUUGGUGUUUCGGCGGGGGAUGGGCUCGCGGCCUAUCAGCUUGUUGGUGGGGUGAUGGCCUACCAAGGCGGUGACGGGUAGCCGGCCUGAGAGGGUGGGCGGCGACACUGGGACUGGGAUACGGCCCAGACUCCUGCGGGAGGCAGCAGUGGGGGGUAUUGCAGAAUGGGCGGAAGCCUGAUGCAGCGACGUCGCGUGAGGGAUGGAGGCCUUCGGGUUGUGAACCUCUGUUUCCGGUGGUGAAGGCCCUGUCCGUGUGGUGGGGUUGACGGUAGCCGGGGAUGAAGCGCCGGCUAACUACGUG